rnacentral:rRNA from 1 species
GGUGUUGCAUGGCUGUCGUCAGCUCGUGUCGUGAGAUGUUGGGUUAAGUCCCGCAACGAGCGCAACCCUCAUCCUUAGUUACCAUCAGGUAAUGCUGGGGACUUUAAGGAAACUGCCAGUGAUAAACUGGAGGAAGGUGGGGAUGAUGUCAAGUCAUCAUGGCCCUUAUGGAGUGGGCUACACACGUGCUACAAUGGUGGCUACAAUGGGCUGCAAAGUCGCGAGGCUAAGCUAAUCCCUUAAAAGCCAUCUCAGUUCGGAUUGUACUCUGCAACUCGAGUGCAUGAAGUUGGAAUCGCUAGUAAUCGUGGAUCAGCACGCCACGGUGAAUACGUUCCCGGGUUUUGUACACAC